CUGGCGGCGUGCCUAAUCAUGCACUCGAGCGAACUGAUUAGAAGCUUGCUUCUAUGACGUUAGCGGCGGACGGGUGAGUAACACGUGGGCAACCUGCCUGUAAGACUGGGAUAACUUCGGGAAACCGAAGCUAAUACCGGAUAGGAUCUUCUCCUUCAUGGGAGAUGAUUGAAAGAUGGUUUCGGCUAUCACUUACAGAUGGGCCCGCGGUGCAUUAGCUAGUUGGUGAGGUAACGGCUCACCAAGGCAACGAUGCAUAGCCGACCUGAGAGGGUGAUCGGCCACACUGGGACUGAGACACGGCCCAGACUCCUACGGGAGGCAGCAGUAGGGAAUCUUCCGCAAUGGACGAAAGUCUGACGGAGCAACGCCGCGUGAGUGAUGAAGGCUUUCGGGUCGUAAAACUCUGUUGUUAGGGAAGAACAAGUACGAGAGUAACUGCUCGUACCUUGACGGUACCUAACCAGAAAGCCACGGCUAACUACGUGCCAGCAGCCGCGGUAAUACGUAGGUGGCAAGCGUUAUCCGGAAUUAUUGGGCGUAAAGCGCGCGCAGGCGGUUUCUUAAGUCUGAUGUGAAAGCCCACGGCUCAACCGUGGAGGGUCAUUGGAAACUGGGGAACUUUGAGUGCAAAAGAAAAAACGGAAUUCCCGUGUACCGGUGAAGUGCUAAAGAUGUGAAGAACCCCAUUGGCCAAGGGGGCUUUUUGGGUUUUUACCGACCCUGAGCGAAAACCGGGGG
rnacentral:rRNA from 1 species